UACGUAGGGCGCAAGCGUUGUCCGGAAUUAUUGGGCGUAAAGAGCUCGUAGGCGGCCUGUUGCGUCCGCUGUGAAAUCCCGGGGCUCAACCCCGGGCCUGCAGUGGAUACGGGCUGGCUAGAGGCAGGCAGGGGAGAACGGAAUUCCUGGUGUAGCGGUGAAAUGCGUAGAUAUCAGGAGGAACACCUGUGGUGUAGACGGCUUUCUGGACCAUAGCUGACGCUGAGACACGAAAGCGUGGGUAGCAAACAGG
rnacentral:rRNA from 1 species